CUAAAAUAAGAUAAAUCAAGAAAUCGCAAUCGAAGGCGCCUAAUAUCUAUGAACACUGUUGCUGUAAAUAUUGAUGAUUUGUGAAGCCAAUAUGUCGGUUCCGGACUAGUGGAGUCUCGCUUUGAAAAGAUAACGCACAUCCUUUGACUUGGAAAAGUUUCAAAAAUACAUCAUUGGACAAAAGUUUCGAAAAAAGUGGAACUUCAAUUAAGACUGACUUAUAAACAAAAUUAGCACUGACUUUAUAUAUAUUGAUGUAAAAGUGUGUCAACCAUAAACUCUUACGUUCAUUAUA